UGGCAUUUAACGGUAUCGGUGGCUUGGUGAACACGGCACCUUCGCGCACUUGUCACGUAGAAUAUAUUUUUGGCUCUUAUAUUUUAAGUUAUUUGUGUGUAUAUAACUAGUCUAUUAUUUAGAUCGGUGUAUUCUAUUACACUGCUUGUUAUCACAUCUUAUUAUGAAUAUUGUGUUGAUGCAAUCAAACACUAUGAUUAAAAUCAUGGAUCAGUCCAAACUUUCCAGACAAUAUGAGGAAAUGAUAUGUUAAACUGAGGUACAAGUAUUGAAUUAGAGUAGAUUUAUAUGAUAUUAUAGAUAGAUUACAUGAUGUUUAACGUUCAUACUUUUGUCAUUAGUUGAUAUCACCAGAGUUGGUGUUUCUAUGAACACUAUGUCUUAACAUUUAUGUCAUUGAAUCAUUAUUUCUGUUGUGCAUAUUAUUAUUUAGUCAUGUGGGAGCUUAAUAUAGAUAAAUAAAUGAGUAUAUUCUUCACAGCCGUCGUUUGAUUUUAUUUCUAACGCAUUUUGAGUGGCACAGAUGUCGAAAGUGAGAUCUGUCUGGGCGCUCCGUGUGGACAAACGUGUUUUCAACUUUUUCGGAUGCCCAAUAGUUUUCUCGUUUAAAUGACCCGCUGCGCUAGCAUGAACCCUUGCAUCGGACACCCAUCACACAUUGACGCUUGCUAGAACCAUUGGAUAUGCUCGCAAUGAUGAGUAUUCAUUGUUUUAUUUAUUAAUGUUUAACUACUUAAUAUUAAUAAUGUUGUUAUUGCCUUUAGAGUAAUUUAUAAACCACUCGCUGGUUGUUUGUGUUUGGCUGAGAUGUACCAAUAUUGUUUUUUAUUAUUAUUUUUAAAUUUAUGGUUUUUUAAAAUGAUUGUACCUUAUUUUUGAAUGGCAGUUAUUUUUGUGAUCAGUAUACUCUGUCUGCCAAACAUAUUUGUAUAGAGUGGUGUGCUCUAUACAGUUUAAACGAUGACAAUAAUAUUACAAUUCUCUUGGUAUAUGAAUAAUCCCAAGGCUCUAGACAUCUUAGGUCCGUCCUCUACUUAGAUUUUAGUAUAGCUCUUACUACUUAUCAAUACCCAUUGGAUUGUCUUAUAAUAGACAUUAUAUUCGACUUAUGAUAAUAAUCCUUGCUUCGCUACUGUCAGUAAAUAUUCCAAAUAUUCCAUGAAAAGGUACAAAAGUGAAGUCGUCGGUCGAUAGUAUUAUAUGUUACCAUAAUUGUUAUGUAAUUACGAGUUUAAGGUUUCUGUUUUGUAAUAUACACCUUGUACCUAUUUACAACUCUGCUCGGUACUUUUAGAAUCUAAUUGAAUUAUAGUGCAUUUUUCUGAACACAGUUUAGGUAGGUAUAAUUGUUCCAUUUUUAUUCUAGUAGCUACCAAAUUAAUGGAUGAUAUCUAAAAUAUAGAUCUGUUUGUCUUGCAACGUAAAAUAAUAAAUAAUGCCCUCGUGAGUGUCAAAAAUAAAAAUAAAUGUUAGAAAACCAAAUCAAAUUGCGCUGUGAGAAACUGUUUAUAAUGUGGGGAAUAAAAAAUAUUUGAGCUUCAGAAAUAAUGAUUUAAUGUAUAACCAUAGUUAGGAAAAGGCAUUUAUAUUUGCCAACAGCUUUAUAGUAUAAAAUACAUUAUUUUAUAGGUGCUUUUAAUUUAUAUUCCAUUUAAGCAAAAAUAAGCAUUAUAGCCCCAGUUUAUUCAUACAAAUAUUCUUAACUUGAAUUUACUAGAUCAAGUUUACAUUUACACUACUGUAAGAAGAAUAGUAUUUUGCUCAUUUAUAAAUUUACUGGCAAAAAUAUGUCUGAGUGAAUAGAAAAUAUAUUCUAUUUUAUUAAUAAAGUCUUCUAUAGUUUCAAAUGUUCGGUGGAAUGUUUUAUAAAGUAUUAAAAUUGUGGUUUCUGUAAGCAACAGACCACGUUGACGCAUUUUCGUCUUUUUACCAUAGAGGUUACAAAUAUUUGUAGACGAUUAAUAUUACUCCUGGUUCUAGCCAUUUAUGUCUUAUUAAAGUCUUGGAGCUUCCUAUUUUAACGUUUUGUGACUUUACGGUAUUUUCGAAAUAUUUAGAUUUUUUUUUAUUUCUUAUACAAUUUCAUCGAAAAUGCGCCAAAAUGGUGCGUUGUUGAGAUCCCAGUAGAUAUUUAUUACCAAUAGGUAAGUAAAAUUGUUUAUUUUUAUAUAUUUUAUUAAAGAUAUGUUCCAUAAUAUUAUGUUGUUAAAAUAUUGUUGUGAUUUUUAAAAAGUUUUCAUUAUAUUCUAAAUAUUUUUCGUAACUUUUUGUAUGAUUCAGUACUAUGUGAUUUGAGAAAAAUAACAGUGAUUUUGUUUUACCUAUACUAUAUUCGAAUAGUUAAUUUAAAAGAGUUAGUGUUUAGACGAGCAAUAUUUUUGUUACUACUUAGCCGUAAGUGUAAACAUGUAAGAUAAAUUAAUGUUAGAAAUAAAUAUCUAGUACUCAA